rnacentral:tRNA from 1 species
GGUUGUGGCUCAGUGGUAAAGCGCUUGCCUAGCAUGUGCGAGGCCCUCAGUUCAGUCCUCAGCACCA